AGUGAACGCUGGCGGUAGGCCUAACACAUGCAAGUCGAACGGCAGCACAGUAAGAGCUUGCUCUUACGGGUGGCGAGUGGCGGACGGGUGAGGAAUACAUCGGAAUCUACUUUUUCGUGGGGGAUAACGUAGGGAAACUUACGCUAAUACCGCAUACGACCUACGGGUGAAAGCAGGGGAUCUUCGGACCUUGCGCGAUUGAAUGAGCCGAUGUCGGAUUAGCUAGUUGGCGGGGUAAAGGCCCACCAAGGCGACGAUCCGUAGCUGGUCUGAGAGGAUGAUCAGCCACACUGGAACUGAGACACGGUCCAGACUCCUACGGGAGGCAGUGGGGAAUAUUGGACAAUGGGCGCAAGCCUGAUCCAGCCAUACCGCGUGGGUGAAGAAGGCCUUCGGGUUGUAAAGCCCUUUUGUUGGGAAAGAAAAGCAGCAGGUUAAUACCCCGCUGUUCUGACGGUACCCAAAGAAUAAGCACCGGCUAACUUCGUG
rnacentral:rRNA from 1 species